AUGUUCGGCGUGGCUUUUAUGCUGGAUAACCCUUCAACCGACUACUACUCUGUCAAUCUCACCGGCAUCACCGCUUCGUCACCGACCUCGCCGCCGGCGUUCAACUUCACUCUCCACGUCGAGAACAAAGGUUUGGUGUACGAAAACUGCUUCAGCCACGGGCAAGCGGCCGUGUCGUACGCCGGCGUUGUCAUCGGAGAAGGUCCUGUGCCGGGCGUGUGCGCAGAGCCGGGAAGGAAGGGAACAGCGGAGGUGACGGCCCUGGCGCACGGCGGCGAAGGAGGAGCGCCGCUGCCGGACAGCCAGAGGAAGCGCCUCGAGGACGAGAUGCGUCGGGGAUCUGCGGAGUUUGACGUGGAAGCCAAGCUGUUCCGCGAUGGCCACAUAAGGGGCCCCGUCGUGCUGUGGUGCAAACUUGGACUGCAAGAGUUGCAGCAGCCUUCGGAUUUCCUGGGAGGUCUUACCCAUCCCCCUGUUCUAAGUGUUGCCCUCGAGGAGUGA
rnacentral:rRNA from 1 species